CCUACGGGAGGCAGCAGUAAGGAAUUUUCGUCAAUGGGGGAAACCCUGAACGAGCAACGCCGCGUGGAGGAUGAAGGUCUUCGGAUUGUAAACUCCUUUUAUACGGGACGAUAAUGACGGUACCGUAGGAAUAAGCCCCGGCUAACUCUGUGCCAGCAGCCGCGGUAAUACAGAGGGGGCAAGCGUUGUCCGGAAUUACUGGGCGUAAAGCGCACGCAGGUGGUCACGCAAGUGGUGUGUGAAACCAAUCAGCUUAACUGAUUGACGCCAUGCCAAACUGCGAGACUAGAGGGAUGGAGAGGUUGUUCGAAUUGCUGGUGUAGUGGUGAAAUGCGUAGAGAUCAGCAGGAAGACCAAGGGCGAAAGCAGACAACUGGCCAUCACCUGACACUGAGGUGCGAAAGCGUGGGGAGCGAACUGGAUUAAAUACCCAGGUAGUCCACGCCGUAAACGAUGUAUGCUCGGUAUCUGUGCUGUUACAAGCAUGGGUACCUCAGGAAACCCGGUAAGCAUACCGCCUGGGAAGUACGAACGCAAGUUUAAAACUCAAAGGAAUUGACGG
rnacentral:rRNA from 1 species